UACGUAGGGCGCGAGCGUUGUCCGGAUUUAUUGGGCGUAAAGAGCUCGUAGGCGGCUUGUCGCGUCGACCGUGAAAACUCGGGGCUUAACUCCGGGCCUGCAGUGGGUACGGGCAGACUAGAGUGCGGUAGGGGAGACUGGAAUUCCUGGUGUAGCGGUGAAAUGCGCAGAUAUCAGGAGGAACACCGGUGGCGAAGGCGGGUCUCUGGGCCGUAACUGACGCUGAGGAGCGAAAGCGUGGGGAGCGAACAGG
rnacentral:rRNA from 1 species